UUAAAAAGGCAAAACAACCGAAAGGUUGCGACGCAAAGCUAUAGGGCCUGGAAAUGGUUGCCAGCUGCUG
rnacentral:ncRNA from 1 species